CCUACGGGUGGCUGCAGUGGGGAAUAUUGGACAAUGGGCGAAAGCCUGAUCCAGCCAUGCCGCGUGUGUGAAGAAGGCCUUCGGGUUGUAAAGCACUUUCAGUGGGGAAGAAAGCCUUGGGGCUAAUACCCUCGAGGAAGGACAUUACCCACAGAAGAAGCACCGGCUAACUCCGUGCCAGCAGCCGCGGUAAUACGGAGGGUGCGAGCGUUAAUCGGAAUUACUGGGCGUAAAGCGCGCGUAGGCGGUCUGAUAAGCCGGUUGUGAAAGCCCCGGGCUCAACCUGGGAACGGCAUCCGGAACUGUCAGGCUAGAGUGCAGGAGAGGAAGGUAGAAUUCCCGGUGUAGCGGUGAAAUGCGUAGAGAUCGGGAGGAAUACCAGUGGCGAAGGCGGCCUUCUGGACUGACACUGACGCUGAGGUGCGAAAGCGUGGGUAGCAAACAGGAUUAGAUACCCCAGUAGUC
rnacentral:rRNA from 1 species